CCGGAUGCCGAUUUGCGGGUCCGGUUGGACACAGAGGGCGCUGGCUCUCAUCCCGGCGCAUCUCAUGCUCAGAUUGCUCAUUGGAGGAUUUGGAAAUGAGAA
rnacentral:sRNA from 1 species